UAAAAUGAAUCACAAUUAAAAUUUUGAACGUGAAAUUGCAUUCUUUUGUGUAGCUACAUGGAGACAGAUUGAUAAACAAACAGACUGAUAGACAGACAUACAAACAGAUAGAAAGAUAGACAGGUAAAUAUAUUGACAGACAGACAGACAGACAGAUUGACAGACAGACAGACAGAUAGAUAGAUAGAUAGUCCAGUUGAAAUAUAUAAGGAAAAGAGCUUUAAAAAAUUAGCGUAAACAAAUAAAUAAAACACACAUCGUUAAAAAUACUGUCUUCUACUGUUUAGAUUUUUUUUAAAUAUCCAGUUAAUUUCAUUAUGAUGUUAAUUUAUGAAUAAAACAGUUUUUGUAACAGGGUUCUGUUUUUCUAAGACACGCCCGGACACUAGGGGGCGGUAAAAGCACGUCAAAUCACUGACAAAAUAUCCGCCGAAGAAAAAUAAAGACGCGUCUGAUUGGUCAAGUCACUUAUUUUCGUCACUUCCUCCUGCUUCUAACGGUUAUACGUGACGCAGCAGGUUUAACGCGACAGAAUCGUUGAGACGACGCAGCGACCGACAGCUUCACGUUUGGUCUCAGUUCGCGUUUUAAACGCCAUCAAAACUCGUCUAGGGUUCGUUCGUUCUGUUCGAUAUGUGCGUUGUUGUUGCCAUGGCGACGGAAAAGAGAAAGCAAGCGAAUACAAACAGAUGGGGGAGAAAGAAGUCGGUGUACUCGUGUGGGGUGAAAGCUGGGGCUCGGAAACACGUCGGAAGAUCGCAUAGGAAACCCACACGAGGUAUUCCCGGCCCUGUGUGUGGACACAAGCUGCCGGCAGGAGCCAUGGCGCCCACAAACACCACACAGUACCUGAUGGAGCUCGUCUACAGUGAGCUGAACAUCACUGCGUCUCGACACGCACACACGUACUCUUACACGUCUGCCUACACGGACCAAGACACCAUGGACUUUCAGCGCCGCGAUUUCGAGAGCGUUUUCUUUCACAAUGAGGUUUGAAGAAUCGUCGCCAUUUUAACGGCCGCCAUCUUGGAAAGGGCAAAAAGGAAACGCAAGAAAAUCCUGAAGCUGAACCGAUUUAAAUCUGAUGUGAGCCUUGUAACUCAAAUUUGUUACCCACGUGUAUUGUUACUGUGUUUUUACAAAGGUUUUGCUGACGCAUUGUAUACGUACAAGGGCUCAUCUGUUGGCUGUCCUUGUCUCACAGCGACACGCAUGCGCAGAAUCGACGCCAUUUUGACGGCCGCCAUCUUGGAAAGGGAAAAAGACGAGAAUUCUAAAGCUAAACCGAUUUAAAUCGGAUGUGAGCCUUGUAACUCAAAUUUGUUACCCACGUGUAUUGUUACUGUGUUUUACAAAGGUUUUGCUGACGCAUUGUAUACGUACAAGGGUUCAUCUGUUGCUGUCCUUGUCUCACAGCGACACGCAUGCGCAGAAUCGACGCCAUUUUGACGGCCGCCAUCUUGGAAAGGGAAGAAGGGAGAGAAAAAACACGAAAAUCCUGAAGCUGAACCGAUUUAAACCUGAUCGACGCUCAGCGGGAGGCUCGUGGCUCUGCGUCAGAGUGUAAGCCACGCCCACGCCUGCUAAGACACCUGGGCGCACAGGUAAACCUGCUCCACAAUGGUGUGUAUGCACUAUGUCUACAUGUCUGUGUGUUGUGGUGUUUUGCUGUGCCUCUGUGUUCGAGAGACUUUUUCAGGUCUGCUGCUCCACCGCUGAAGACUUUCAGCUGAACUUUCUGAGGUCAGAAGGUCCUGAGGCCGAAAGGCUCCCAGUCUUCAGACCUGGGGUAACUUUAUUUUAUCCUGGUCAUUGUACUCUGAUGCACUGUGUUUAUGGAGAUACAUGUAUAAUUUGUAUAUAAAUUUGUAAAAUCAUUAAAAUUAUUUUGCUAAAA